GUUUUUUUGCUUUUUUAUAAUAAAAAUCUACCCAUCAAAUAUUGCUUAUACUUCUCCCUCUCUAUAAAACUUUUACCUUCACAGCUUCUCCCUGGCUUUUCCUCACCUUUGUGUUUCCUGUUUCUACAGCAGCUCUGGAAGAUGUUCCCCCUCCUUUCAGGAAGCUCCCAGCUUCAGGAAACUCAUAAUUUUGACUCAGAAGAGGAAGGCUUUCAAAGUGUCAGGUAAAAGAUGUCCCUGCUUGGAAGACUCAUCUGGGGAGGAAUGGACCUGCAGGAGCUUUGACGAUGUGACUUCAUUGCCUUCAGGCUGAAAAGGAAGCUGAACACAGAUUUCCCAUUUCCUAGGUAAGCAUUCUGCCACUAGGCUAAGAGCUGACUUUAUUUAUUUACCUACAAUUGCAGUUUCACAUUUUAUUGAUGGCACAUGUAAACAUAUAAAAUUUAUUCUCUUAAGAAUGUGCAAAGGAAUUGGAAAUGGUAUAGGUACUGGUAAAAAGUGCAUGUGACUGAUUAUUCUCAUUUUUAAAACAUGCAACUUGAAAACACUUCUUGAUCUGGGGAUAAAAAAUUCUGUUUGACUUUGGUCACCAAUCACACAGUCCAACUAUUGAGCAAGCAGUAGUUGUGGCACAGCAUUCACAAGUAAGUACACAGUCUGCAAGAUGUUCCCAUGCAUUAUUCAGUGAAUAAUUCUAAAUAAUGAAAACACUGAAAUCUGUGUGCAGAUGUAGUAUGGGGGACCAAAUUAAAUGUGUUGUUUAAUAGAAGAAGCUGACCCAGCUCUAGUGGAAACCAGCACCAGCUGUUCAGAGACCUGUGGGUCUACGUAACAUGAAUUUAUCGUUUGAUAGAAACAGUAAUCCAAGUCCAGCAAUCACUAGUGUGUGGUAGGUAUCAUUCACAGUGAUGAAGCAGCUUCCAGAAUACACACCCACAGGCUACCUUCACUGUGGAGUCACCUUCUGAGUGAUUUCCAUCUUCCAGGUCAGCUCCUUGGGAGCUGGCUGUGGUCGGCUGGGAACCUGUUGGCAUGGCACCCGCCUGGUGUCUGCAGCUCGCGGUGACCCUGCCGGCGGCUGUGGGCUGUGGGCACU
rnacentral:lncRNA from 1 species